ACCCGUGCACUCCGACGCGAGCACGCAAGACUGUCAACUGACUCGUCACUACGGUUUUCACUUCUCCGGUUGGCACUGUGUCGUGGGUUAGCAGGCUUGGCUGCGGAGCUGCUGUCUGCUAAUGUGCUGUUUUGUUUCGGGUUUGAGGGAUUUCUGACGUGAAUUCCUGGUGGCCCCAUCGUUCGUGAUACAAAUGAGGCCUCGAGACAUUCCGUUUUGUCUUUUAAUUGUUGCGCACUGCUUUCCGUGUAGUGUAGUACAUGUUUUUGUAACUGAACUGUGUGUCCUGAGUGUAAAAGUCAAUAUUCUGAAACGUUACAUAACCCUCAUAGUGCAUAUACUUGUUUUGAUAUCGUCAGAGCAACGAUUGACAGUUUAAUAUUCUUAUGCAAAUAAGAUGGCAUAGUGCCAGUUUUUUGUUUUCGUGAAUUGUUUUACAUAAUUAGUGAUUUUUGUCACCAAUGGACUGCGUGACCAACUUUACGUACUUCUACUAUGCAAGAUUUUUGAUGGAAGCCAUGGAGAUGCUUUCAGAGAAGAGGUUUAGAAGCAAACACACCACCAACAACGCCUGUAAUCAAUAGGUUUCCAGCCCAAGGCAGCGCUGUGUAAUGGAAUCCCAACGCUAACCCCGGCGCGGCGCCGCGGCCCACUGCAGGAGGCCUUUGUUCUGUUUUGGGCGAGAAAGAGGGGAAGAGGCCCAUAGAUACUUAUCAAGGAGAUAACCUCUCUCCGAAUGAGUGGCUUAGGGGU